rnacentral:lncRNA from 1 species
AACAUAUGUGUAUAACUCUCAUAAAAUUAUCCAUAAUAGUUUGGAUGAGAUGCAACCCAAAUGGACCAUGCCGGUCGGGUCAAGUAUAUACCAAAUAAGUUAUGGACUUAGACACCUUAUCCAACAGACUCCCACUUGGAUAAGUCUAAUAACUAUAUUUGCCUAUAACUUCAGGAACCAACCAACAAUCGUAGCUCUCGAAAACUCCCUCGAACAAUGAAGACUCUGUCGAACUAUGAAGCGCCAUUUUAGAUAAGUGAUCACAUAAUCCUCUGUUCUCAUGAUAUCAGCCGGACAAACACAUGGAACUAUGUCUUGCUUAUUGUCUAGCAGUUGUUUCUCGAUUAUCCGAUUUGUUUGACGAAGAACUUCACUGAACACAUCGGUUUAGUUCUGACCAGGCCUGGUAUAUGGGUCAACACAAAAUCAUCGAGGGGCCCGGAUAUCGCUUCUAUUUCUAGAAGGAACAGAUAAACUUCGACUGAUAUGCUUGUUCUACUACUUAUUGAAUUGUACACAAAGGCACGUUUUAUAACAUCAAGUUACUGAUGCGUUUACGUGCAAUCAAUGCACAACCAACUCAUAGGUAACAACUCAUAUCUCUAGGUUUAAAGAUUUAUAUGAUGUUAUCGUCUCACGAUCACUCGAGAUAAAUUCCAUGAAGUGAUACAAGUGAGCGUGGGUUUAUACCAAUACUCAUAACUUAUGAGUACUCAUGAAUGUUGCAGCAACCAUUGCCAUGCCUAAACACCUUUAAGGCAUCUACAAACCCAAUUCAUGACAAUCUUGAUUCAUACCUACUUCCGACGUAUGAUCGAUUGUGGAGGUUUGAACAAAUUAAUUAUUCUGGAAGUCAAAACAUGCAAAACUGAAACAAUAGUAAAUAAUUGACAAUGAUAGUAACACUUUACUCAUAAAUAAAUCACAAAUUUUAUUCAUCAUCAAACGUCGAUUACAUUUUACAAGUUUCAGGAAAACUAUCUAAUCUGUAAAACUAAUAUCGUCCCUCAGCCCGAUGCGUCUCGCAUGCUGAAAAUGCUUAACCCUCGUCAGUCCCUUCGUAAGGGGAUCUGCAGGAUUCUCAUCUGACGAUAUCCUCCUUGUCACAAGGAGUCCUUCUUCAAUCUUGUGCCUUAUGAAGUGAUAUUUUCUGUCAAUGUGUCGGGAUCUGCCAUGAUCUCUUGGUUCCUUGGCUAAGAUAACCGCAGCAUUGUUGUCACAGAAAAUCUCUAUAGGUUCCUUAAUAGCUGGUACAACUCCAAGGUCUCCGAUGAAGUUCUUUAGCCAUAUCGCCUCCUUCGCUGCUUCACUCGCUGCUAUAUACUCUGAUUCACAAGUCGAAUCAGCCACCGUCUCCUGCUUGGAACUCUUCCAAGAAAUUGCCCCUCCAUUUAAGGUAAAGAUCCAGCCCGACUGAGAGCGGAAAUUAUCCCUAUCAGUCUGAAAACCAGCAUCACUAUACCCUAAUAUUCUCAAGUCAUCACUGCCACCAAGGGUAAGGACCCAAUCCUUAGUCCUCCGCAGGUACUUGAGAAUGUUCUUUACCGCGGUCCAAUGAGCCUUGCCAGGGUUCCCCUGAUACCUGCUGACCAUGCUCAAAGCAAAUGCCACAUCAGGACGGGUACAAGUCAUAGCAUACAUGAUCGAGCCAACUGCGGAAGCAUAUGGUAAUUGGCUCAUCUCAGCUAUCUCAGCCUCUGUACUCGGACUCUGAGUCUUACUCAGUUUGGUAUUGCUUUGGAUCGGUAAAUCUCCUUUCUUGGAAUUCUCCAUGUUGAACCUUUUCAACACCUUAUCCAAGUAGAUACUCUGACUAAGUCCAAUUAGUCUUCUACUCCUUUCUCUUAAUAUCCUUAUCCCUAGGAUAUAGGUAGCCUCCCCUAGGUCCUUCAUAGCAAAGCACUUCCCAAGCCAGGACUUAACCUCCUGCAAGGUUGGGAUGUCAUUUCCUAUGAGUAGUAUGUCAUCCACAUACAGUACCAAGAAGCUAACUAUACUCCCACUAGCUCUGACAUACACGCAAGACUCAUCUUCGCUUCUCAAGAAGCCAAACUCUUUUACCUUCUCAUCAAAACAAAGAUUCCAGCUACGAGAUGCUUGUUUUAAUCCAUAAAUGGAUUUCUUAAGCUUGCAUACUCUAUUAGGGUACUCUGCAUUGACAAAACCCUCUGGCUGAUUCAUGUACACAUCCUCAGCCAACUUUCCAUUAAGGAAAGCGGUUUUGACAUCCAUUUGCCAUAUUUCAUAAUCAUGAAAUGCUGCAAUGGCUAACAUAACCCUAAUAGACUUAAUCUUGGCCACCGGCGAGAAGGUUUCAUCAUAAUCAAUACCUUGAGUUUGAGUAAAACCCUUCGCAACCAGUCGAGCCUUAUAAGUAUGCACUUUUCCUUCCAUGUCGGUCUUCUUUUUGAAGAUCCAUUUGCACCCGACUGUUUUACGGCCUGGUACAUUGUCAACCAAGUUCCAAACUUGAUUGUCAUACAUGGACUGUAUCUCGCUGUCCAUAGCCUCCUUCCAUUUAGCAGACUCCGGGCCUGCCAUGGCUUCCUUAACACUGCUAGGUUCAUCCAAAUUUACUAGUGUACUAUCACUAAUAAACGUAUCACCUUCCGUAGUAAUAUGAAAACCAUAAUAAAACGAAGGUGUGUUCCUAACCCGUGUGGAACGUCUCGGAGGUACAGACUCGUCAGCUGGAUCAACAGGAGUUUCUUCCUCAGGUUGAUUGCUAGUGUCUGAGGUUCCUUCACCAAUUGAUUCUUGAAUUUCUUCAAGAUCAAUCUGCCUCCCACUGUCUCCUUGGCUUAUAAAUUCUUUCUCGCGAAAGAUCCCUCUUCGUGCUACAAAGACCACAUUCUCACUGGGUCUGUAGAAAAGGUAACCGAAGGAUUUCUGUGGGUAGCCGAUGAAAAUACACCUUUCACUUCGGGGUUCAAGCUUAUCAUGAGUUUCACGCCUCACGAAGGCUUCGCAACCCCAAAUUUUGAUGUGGUCCAAAUUGGGAACCUUCCCAGUCCACAUCUCAUGAGGUGUUUUGGUAACCUUCUUUGUAGGGACUAGAUUAAGGAUAUGGGCGGCAGUCUCUAAGGCAUACCCCCAAAAAGAGAUUGGUAACGAAACUCGACUCAUCAUAGAGCGAACCAUGUCCAACAAGGUACGAUUACGCCUCUCAGCUACACCAUUCAGCUGUGGUGUCCUGGGAGGAGUCAAUUGUGAGACAAUCCCACACUCCUUAAGAUAGUCAAGGAACUCGGUACUAAGAUACUCACCACCUCGAUCGGAUCGAAGCAUCUUAAUGUUCCUGCCCAAUUGAUUUUCUACUUCCUGUUUGAAUUCCUUAAACCUUUCAAAGGUUUCGGACUUGUGUUUGAUCAAGUAGACAUACCCAUAUCUACUAUAAUCAUCAAUAAAAGUCACAUAAUACCGAUUAGCGUCCCUUGUGGCGGUUUUGAAUGGCCCACAUACAUCAGUAUGUAUUAGGUCCAACAAACCUUCACCCCUCUCACAAGUUCCAGUGAAGGGUGAUUUUGUCAUUUUUCCAAGUAGACAAGAUUCACAACUAUCAUCUGAUUUGAGGUCAAAUGAUUCCAAGACUCCACUCUUUUGGAGUUGGUCUAUGCGUUUCUUGUUUACAUGUCCAAGACGACAAUGCCACAAUGAUGCUUUAUCUAGGCUAGUAGAAGAAUCAAUAUACAACACAUUAUUUCCUAAGUUGUCUACAAUCGACACAGUUUCAUACACGCCAUCACAAGGUAAUGCUUUAAAAUAAAACACAUUAUUAAAGAAAGCAUUAAUACCACCACAUUCAUUAUCAAACGAAAAGGUAAAACCUUGUUUGUACAAAGCAUGAAAAGAAAUAAUAUUCCUCGCCAUUUCAGACGAGUAUACACAUUUAUUCAAAUCUAAUUUUAACCCAUUAUUAAGCAACAAAGUAUAAACUCCAAUCUUGGAAACAGGUGAAGCCUUCCUAUUCCCCAUGAUUAAGUUUAUCUUCCCGUGCUCCACAUCCUCACUUCUUCUUAGGCCCUGCAAAUCAGAACAUAUGUGAAUACCACAUCCUGUAUCAAGCACCCAAGAGUUAGAAUAUGUUGAGUAAUUAGACAAUAUAGUGUAAAUACCUGCAUAGGUGGGUUUCACUUUCCCAUCCUUUAGAUCCUGCAAGUACUUAGGGCAGUUUCGCUUCCAGUGUGCCUUUUCAUGGCAAUAAAAGCAUUCAGCAUCCUUUGGAAUGGCAGAAGGAGUGACAGAACCGUUCUUAGUCUUGGAUGAGGAGCCUUCAAGAGACUUUCCCUUGGUACCCUUCGAAGGGUGCUUCCUCUUUUUCCCUUUGCCUUGCCCAAUAGCUAAAACAGGGGUAGAAGUUGGAGUAGGAGUAGUAGAGGUAACAACCGCUUUACCCUUAAGACCGGUUUCAGCGGUCUUCAAGAGUCCUUGAAGCUUGCUGAGGGUAACUUCCUCCUUGUUCAUAUGAUAUGUCAUUCGAAAAUGAUCAUAACAAGAAGGCAAGGAGUGCAAAAUGAUGUCAAUUGCUAACUCCUCGGGGAUGUUAACAUUCAGCUUCAGCAAACGGUCCACAUACCUUUGCAUCUUUUGCAUGUGGCCCGUGACGGAUUCACCGUCCUUCAUGCGGGUAGUUAUUAUGGAGGAGAUUAUUUCAUACCGCUCCUGACGAGCACUCUGAUGGUACCUUUCCAUCAAGUCUUGGUGCAUCUCAAAAGGGUAGAAAUCUUCAUAUGACUUUUGGAGCUCGGCUGUCAUCGUGGCCAUCAUGAUACAUGCCACCUUAGUAGCAUCUCUCUCAUGAGUCCUGAAUUCAGCGAUCUCCUCAGGAGUAGCAGUAGACUCAUCAAGUUCUUUUAACUCCUUAUCGAGGACAUAUUCCUUGUCCUCGUAACGAGUAACCAUCCUGAUGUUCCUAAUCCAAUCCAUGAAGUUGGAACCAUCAAAGAUGACCCUCCCACAAAGAUUCAUGAGAGAGAAAGAACCAGUUGGGUUAGAGCCUGAAGCAUUAGUGUUGGAAGACAUCUGAAAGAAGAAAGUAAGUUUAGAUUAGAUAUUUAGGAUCCUUAAUAAGACACCCAAAUGUAAUAUUAAGGCUAGGAUCCAAUCACAAUAUAUUACACUUAGAAGAGGGAUGCCGUAAUCUAAGUAAUAAUAUAUUUGAAAGGUAGGCGAAUGACGAUUCACCAAUUUCCACCAUGAAAACGAAAUGAUUAAUUAGGUUUAAUUGGAUUUGAAAUUCCUAGAUUCUUUUGAGAUUCAUUGAACUUUUCAAUGGCAUGUUUCAAUCUCGAUUGUGCCCUUCAAGUUUUGUGACUGGGAUGCCGAGGAUCACAAAACAAGGUGUGAAUAACCAUGCUAACUCACUUGGUACUCCUAAUAUUAUCACCUAAUCAAUGUGCCGGUUAACCACACACGCUCCAUUGAUCUAUGACAACAUUAAGUUACCCUUCGUGAUCCUUACUAGUCUAAUUAGUGUGCCGGUUAACCACACACGCUCCACUAACGACUUGGUAAGGUACAAAGUGUGAAUUCCAUGGAUUAGCACCAUGUUCACAUUUUCCUAAAAUAACUAAGAUUGGGAAUUAAAAGAGUUUAGUUAUUUUAUAAUAUUCAUUAUACUUUUAAUGAGGAUUUAAAGUCGUUGUUCUACCCGUUCGGCUAACGACCCUCCACCGAUCAAGCAAGCGGUGGGUGAGAGUAUACACCCAUUAAGUCGCCAUUUUAUAGGCAACAACCUUAUACCCACCUUAUAGACCGGCUUCGUGAAUGAGGCCUACUAACGGUAAAACGACUUAUUCUUAUACAUAUAUAUAAUAAUUAACCAUUAAUGUUAUAAAUAGUAUAAGGGUUGAAUUUUAACUAUUAAAACUCUAAGGUUUGGAAUUAAAGUUUAUUAAAGUGUGUGAAACUUUACAAAUUCCAAAACUUGAGGACAAGUUUUGUAACUUUGCAAAACUCUUCAUUUCAUAACUUAUGAAUUAAAGGUUCAUAAAAAUGAAGACUCUUCAUUUUCAUGUAACUUAUGUGUUUUAAGUGUGUGUUAAAUGAAAGUGACCUUUGGUAAUCCAUAACUUGAGGACAAAUUAUGGACUCCAUUAAAACACAUAAAUGAUUAAGAAUUAAUUCUAAACAAUUCAGCAAAUAAUUCCUAUCAUUUUCUAAAUUCAUAAGAACAUGAACAUGAUCAUCAAAAAUUCAAGAAUUAUAUGAACACAUAAAAUCAUGGAUUUUUGAUAUAUGCUAUUGUAAAUGGAUUAGAACAACCAUUACACCAACUAAAAUAAGUUUUACAACACCAAAACAAUUUAGGGUAAUGUUUCCAGUCCAUUUCCAGCAGCAAAAGUCGAGAUUCUGCAUUCUUUCGAUCCUACUCGCCGAGUGCACGAACGGACUCGUCGAGUAGGUUGAAGUUUGCCUUGGACUCGGCGAGUCCCCCCAAUGGACUCGGCGAGUCUAGCAUGCAGACAGCAACGAUUUCGACUUUUUUCACUAUUUUGCAUCAAGUAUCAAACAAGCAAGCCUAGGCUCUGAUACCACUGUUGGGUUUUGAGCAAUCUAACACUUCCUAAGUGUGCAUGCAACCCUAAUAAACCUUGGAUCUAUGUUUGUCUAAAUACAUGCAAAAUAAUAAUUUUCCAAGGUUUAUAACCUAUCUAACAUGGCAUGGGGAACAUUUCAACAUAAAAGAGUUAGAAGAGAUUACAUACCUUUGUUGUGUUGGGUUCUUAGGAGUUUGAGGGCCAAGCACCAAUAGUGUGAAUGCCUCAAAUGGAAUCACAAACACCACAAACUCUUGGAAAACUUUGAGAGAGUAUACACACUCUUGUAUUUUCGGCCACACACAUGCACACACACACUAGAACACUAGCUUUCUCUUAGGCUAUCUUAGGCUCUCUUUCAUGCUCCAUAAGCAUGCUUAUAUAGUAUGCAUGGUUAGGGUGAAACCCUAAUAACCCAUGUCUUUUCCUAUUCCAAGGAUCCAUGGGUUAAAAGCUCCAUGGAUCAUCCAUGGACUUCCACAUAAGCCUAGCCCAUUAACAAAUGAGUAUUAGCCCACACUAUAUAAAACAAAUAGCCCAUAAUUUAAUUAGUAUUCCUUUUAAUCUCUAAAUUAAUCCAUAAUUAAUUUAAGACUAAAACUAAUUAAAUAACGUAACUUCAUAUUAAUAUAUUAUAACUCAUAAUAUAUUAAUAAACAUAUGUGUAUAACUCUCAUAAAAUUAUCCAUAAUAGUUUGGAUGAGAUGCAACCCAAAUGGACCAUGCCGGUCGGGUCAAGUAUAUACCAAAUAAGUUAUGGACUUAGACACCUUAUCCAACAGUAUCCAGGUAAGUGAAUACAGGAUAAUGCAUCUAUGUAACGGUACUCAUGUAUCAGGUAAGUAUAUGUAUAUGUACUCAUGUAUCAGAUAAGUCUAUGUAUAUGUACUCAUGUAUCAUGUAAGUAUAUGUAUAUGUACUCAUGAAUGAACUGACUCUUGUGUGAUUCCUUGUAAUAGGAAUAAUGUUUGAUAUCUUCUAACUAUCCCUAUGAUAGUUAACUGAAAGGUAAUUGAUUGUUC